CUCACCGUUAGAUGGCAUCGUGACGCGACUAUAAAACAAGGGACCCACGUGAUCUCUGUGUAAACUGAAAAGGAAUAACCGAAACCUGUGGUGCCUCUUCUUCCCAUCUCUGUGACACUGGGAGGCUGUGGCUGUCUGAGCAUUGAAACAGUGGUGUCUCGGCUCCCUGAAGAGUCAGUCUCCCUGGGAAAAGCCAACAGGAGUCCUCUGUUUUCCCAGUGAGCACGUGAUGCCACAGAAUGAGUGGCUUCAGUCCAUUCACAUUCCACACAGGCCACAACAGACUGGAUGGAAGAGUACAACAUACAACAUGUGGUACAUACAAAAAAAAAGAUAUUCACUGUUAAAUCAGGUUAUUUCGCUGCAGACGUGUGUUGAAUGGUGAAUUUAUGACAUUUACAGGAAAAGAAAGAAUACACAAGUAGGAUUUUGACCUUCUGCAGAGUAAUUACCCUUUUUCUAUUCACAGUUUUGCGAGUUUUUGCUUUUUAAAAACUGUUAAAUGUCGACAAAUGUGACUCAACUAUUUUAA